CCUACGGGAGGCUGCAGUGGGGAAUAUUGCACAAUGGGCGCAAGCCUGAUGCAGCCAUGCCGCGUGUGUGAAGAAGGCCUUCGGGUUGUAAAGCACUUUCAGCGGGGAGGAAGGCGUUAAGGUUAAUAACCUUGUCGAUUGACGUUACCCGCAGAAGAAGCACCGGCUAACUCCGUGCCAGCAGCCGCGGUAAUACGGAGGGUGCAAGCGUUAAUCGGAAUUACUGGGCGUAAAGCGCACGCAGGCGGUCUGUCAGGUCGGAUGUGAAAUCCCCGGGCUCAACCUGGGAACUGCAUUCGAAACUGGCAGGCUAGAGUCUUGUAGAGGGGGGUAGAAUUCCAGGUGUAGCGGUGAAAUGCGUAGAGAUCUGGAGGAAUACCGGUGGCGAAGGCGGCCCCCUGGACAAAGACUGACGCUCAGGUGCGAAAGCGUGGGGAGCAAACAGGAUUAGAUACCCGAGUAGUC
rnacentral:rRNA from 1 species